rfam:Oryza meridionalis cultivar OR44 (W2112) chromosome 4, whole genome shotgun sequence.
CCUAACCCUAGGUUUCCAUGUCCAACGUUUGACUAUCCGUCUUAUAUGAAUUUAUUUUAUAAUUAGUAUUUUCAUUCUUGUUAGAUGAUAAAACAUGAUUAAUACUUUAUGCGUGACUUGUCUUUUUAAUUUUUUUUCAAAUAAGACGGACGAAAAGUCAGUGUUUGUUUUUUUGACGGAGGGUGCCCUAAAU